rnacentral:tRNA from 1 species
GGGAAUGUGGCUUAGUGGUAGAGUGCUUGCCUAGCAUGCAUGAAGUCCUGGGUUUAAUUCCUCAGUACCA